CGGGGCGUGGCGCAGUUUGGUAGCGUGCUUGGUUCGGGACCAAGAGGCCGUGGGUUCGAAUCCCGUCGCCCCGACCA
rnacentral:tRNA from 10 species